rnacentral:rRNA from 1 species
GUGGGGAAUAUUGGGCAAUGGGCGAAAGCCUGACCCAGCAACGCCGCGUGAGGGAAGAAGGUUUUCGGAUCGUAAACCUCUGUCCUUAGUGAAGAGAAAGAGACGGUAGCUAAGGAGGAAGCCCCGGCUAACUACGUGCCAGCAGCCGCGGUAAUACGUAGGGGGCGAGCGUUGUCCGGAAUGAUUGGGCGUAAAGGGCGCGUAGGCGGCCUGUUAAGUCCGGAGUGAAAUUCCUGCUUUCAAGGUAGGAAGUGCUUUGGAAACUGGCGGGCUGGAGUGCAGGAGAGGUUAGCGGAAUUCCCGGUGUAGCGGUGAAAUGCGUAGAGAUCGGGAGGAACACCAGUGGCGAAGGCGGCUAACUGGACUGUAACUGACGCUGAGGCGCGAAAGUGUGGGGAGCAAACAGGAUUAGAAACCCUGGUAGUCC